UAGUAUUUUUAAUUGUUGUAUUUAGUGUUUGAUAUUAUAGUUUAAUUGUUGCUUGUUUUGUAAAGUGUUUUGGGAUGGUUUGGCAUGACAGGCACUAUAUAAAAAUAAAUUGAUUACUAUAUAAUAUUUAACCUGCCAUUUAUUUUUGGUCUUGAAUGCAUUUGUCUUUGGAUGAUUCUAAUAACUGCUAGAAAUUUAAGUUUUAUGAAAAAAGUGCUAUUUUGUAGUAAAAAAAAAUAAUAAUUUGAGAGUCUGUCUCAAUGUGUGUAAUAUUAUGCACUGCUAGAAAUUAAACCUGUGAAGGUCAUAGGAGCUACGUAAAGGUUAUUUAACAUGGGCUGUGCUAUGCCAGUGUUUCAUUUUGUUUAACCUGUGGGAGGUAUGAUAUGCCACAUUUUGAAUCCCCCAACCUCUCAUCAGUUAGUUCCAGGUUGUACACCAUUAUGGAAGUAGACCCUUCUUUCACACGACCUCGUCGGCCCUGCAGACCAGAACCAGUUUAUCAUGCAAGGAGUUCAGCCUUGAACAGCUGUCCCCAAUGUACUUAAAGUAAGUUGAUGUGCACAGCAACAGUGGCAUUUAGAGUAUGUUUGGGAUGUUUAGAAUUAAUUUGAUUAUUGUGUUAUUGAAAAGAAAAUACCAUAGGACAUUUUCUUUCCUUUAGUGUAAGGAUAUAAUGAUCCAAACAAUGUUUUACAUUAACAAUGAAAAAGGUUGUUGACUCAAUACAGCUUGGGCACUUUUCUUUACAAUAACAGGUAAUUAUGCACUGCUAGGGGUAUAGAGGCUUUGCAGUAACGUUGUGAUGGUCUAACAUUGCUGUGAAGCUGUCAAAACUACCAUACAAGCUCAGUACGAAUUUAAAGAAAAAUUCAGUAAAAGGAAAGUUCAGUACAAGUACGAUACAAUUAUACGAACCGAACAUACCAGACACCUCAGGGAACUGGAAUUCGACAUGUAUAAAAAUAAAAUGGCAGUUAUCAGAGCGUGUGAUCCUUAGACAGUGCAUCAGGUGUUUACACUGCUGAAAAGUGCCAUAAAACUACCAAGUGUACUUGGUUGAAACUCCAUCACCCUACACAGGCGAGUACAUGAAGGCAUUUAAAAGUACAGACAGCUACAAGUACUUCAGAGCUAGCUGGGUGCAUGAUCCCACGGUGUGGCACCUACAUGCCAUGAAGAUAUUUUUAAUUACUGCCAGGUCAAGUGUUGUAAUAUUAUAAAUAUAUAUUUAUGUAUGCAUUGUGCACAACUGUCGAGUUACAAAGACUCUAGCACAUUUAUUGGUAGAAAUGUUAGUUGCUUGAAAACAUAUAAAGUCAGUAUACUGUAAAGUACAAAGUACAACGGAGUACAAAGACUGGCCAGCAAAAUGUACUGAUGAAACAAACAUCUGUUGUACAAUUUUACAGUGUGUCUUCAUAGUAAAGUGUGAUGAAGCUGAUGCUGUUUGGAAGCACUCUGCUGUAUUUUUUUUAAUGCAUUUUAAAGCUGUUAACCCUAUUCAGCAUUGCUCAACAUGAUAUUUGACAUACGCUUGAUUUAUUAGAUAUAUCAAUACCAUUGCCUACAUUAUUGUCAAUGAACAAACUUUUUGUUCAGUUUUUUUUUUUUUUUUUUUUUUUUUCACACAGUAGGAUAAUCGCAAUUUACCUGACGCGAAGUGCUCGCUACACAGUCGUGUGUGCUGAGUUGGUGUCAAAUCUUUUCUUCUUGCCGAUGACCACUUCUUACGACAUUCAUCUUCGACAGGAAUUCGAUGUUUCCUGAUGCUGGUAAAGAAAUCAUGGAGAGUAGAGUCUGGCAUGGAGAGAAACAUCACGCUGCUCUCCUGGGUCAGAUGCUUGCAGAACCUCAAGUCCAGAAGUCCAGUUUGCAGUGCCAUCCUGCUACAGAUGUCUUCCAGAUGAUGGGUGUUGAGCCAGACCCUUCAGUAAAUGUAACUGUAGAAAGACUUGUCUAUAAACACUUAAACCCAGAUGAGCCAAGCCUCUUGGAGAUGCUGAACACAGAUGCACAUAGUGCAGCAGAACUCCCACCAGCUAAAGCAGAAACAUUUUCUACCCUCACCUUGAUCCAAUUAGGCAAUAUUUUGACAAAUUCCAGCAUGGACGCAGAAUACCGUAGACGCUGUGCCACACCUCCUGAAAAUAAACUCAAAUCCAUUCUUAAAGACUUAAAAAAUAAAAAUGAGACCAAUGUUCAAAAUAAUAUUCAGAAAGCACAACAUACAGCUGCUGACGUCCCUGCAAGUAAGACUUCUCAGGUCAGAAGCAGUACCAGCAGUGAGAUUUACAAAAACCAAACAAGUGCUGGAAGGAAUAGGAGGUCUUCCAGUGCAGCCUAAAAAUGUCUCAUUAUCGGCAGGUCUGAAAAAGACAUAAAAGGCCCCUGCAACAAGGGCACAGAAUGGAGACCACAGCAGGAGGAUUUGGAUCCGCUCGCCAACUUCAUAAUGCUGAGAUCCAAGCUGACAAAUGCAGUUGCUGCUCCUCCCAAAGCCAAAAGCAAGAAUGAGAGUCAAACCAAAGCCCAUUAACUUUUUACACACAGGAGCUCUAUAAAGAUUGAUGAGGAGCUACUGGCCUCUGGAGGACAAAUGCCAGCCCUGCAGAUGUCCGUAUGAGCUCAUUGGGCACCUGGCCAGUAGGGGCUGCUGUAGCCUGUUGAGAAACAGUCCCUGACGAUUUUGCCUCCCUAACCCCCACAGCCAGUGUCAAUGCUAAUGUGCUGAUCCCUGUGGAAUCCCAAGUGAAGAUCAGCAACUUCACACAACCAAGAACAUGUAUUUGUGAUCCUUUCACUGUAUGACUCACCCUGCACACCACACAUGCUUUUACCGGGUGAGCCACUUAAGGAUUACACAGUGCUAUUUUUUAUUAGGAAAAUAAAGCAUUGUCACUUAUCUUUUAUCAACCACACACACUUCUUCAGUUUUUAUCAACACCUACGUCUUGGAACAUCUUACACGGUGUAUACUUUAUAGUCCAUCAUACUAGGAUCCAUUAUAAGUGGAAUGCACCUAGAGUAUGUCAUGAACCAAUUUCAAAAUGUGUCAGCUUUGAAAAAAUAAGCUGUAAAAUGUGAUUUUCUUUUAAAGAUACAAAGGUAGAAGAUAUGUUUGCCUGUGCAACCCCCAAAGAAGUAGGCUCUGCUGCCAGGCCUGUGAUACCAGAGAAAACCAAGACAGAAACGAGGAACACUGCUGUGAUUGAGGUCCAAGCAUCAGAGAGCCAAUACAGAGCCUACUGUCUACUUCAAGAUAUUGUAUCCCCUGUUCUCUUUAGUUCAAAAGAACUGGGCAUAUCUGCUGCUGUCUUGGGGGACUUUGCUACUCUGACUUUUGACCAAACUCGGUUCUUGUUGAAACGGCAGGAAAAAGUGGUGCCACCACUUUUGUUCACUCACUAGUGAUAUUUUGUUAUAGUUACUUAAUCAAGGUUUCAAGGUUUACAUGCAUGUAGACAGCAAAUACUUGAUGGAACAGUGAACUGUGGUUUCUGUGUAAAUUAUCAGCUCAACUAUGUACAGUAUCUUCAGUGUUGUCUACAUUGUAUUUUGUAUCAAUGUCUUGAGAUUAUGGAAUAUAGAAAGCUCUUUCUAAGACAGCUAUUUUAGUUUUUUGAAAAACUAUAAUAAAAUAAUUAAUUACCAGCAAUAUGAGCAGUCAGGCUCCCGCUAAACUGAUCUUAAUUGCUCUUAACUGAUCAGACUUUUACUAGGUUAUCCAACUAGGAAUCAGUCUCAUCUGACUAGGUUGAUUUACCUGUUGAAAGAGAUCUUGACAACCAUUAAGGGAAAGCCGUUCACCUUGAUGCUCACUUUGCUGGCACAUGAUUAUUUUAUUAUACUAUUCCAGGUACAUCCAUAUGUGAUGUAAAACAAAAUAUUUGAUGCAGAAUGACCCCUCUGUUUAUGUAUAACAAUGAUGAUAAUAAAAAAAUUGGUCUUGCAGGUAAACCAAGUGAAAAAGACGUAACGAUGUAUAAGCACGCCACUGUGGUGCAUCUUUUGGUGACAGUUCGAGACCUGUUGCUUAUGUGUGACCUUAACACAGCUGUAGACUAUCUGGCAAGAGCCAAAGAAAUGUAUGUCAGCACACUGGGGUCUUGUUUGGAUGACCUCUGGAAAAGACUGAGGGUCGUGCAGUACAUCAGCCAGAAGAAUGAGGAAGCCAACCCUAAAAUAGCAGAGCUCCAGCGGAAGAUGUUGGCAUGGAUACAAAGAAACCAUUCUCGGGAGCAGAGUCAUAAAGUAGGUCUCUAAACCCAGCUUCUAUUCUCUGAAGGCUGGAAAUCUUUUGAACAUUAGGAAUCAUGAAGAUAAAAGCAGGUGAGCAAGGAUGAGUUAAAAUUGUAGACAAAGCCUAUACUAGCAUUGUCUCAUUUUUCCCCCUAAACUAUGUCACCUUUACAACAGAAACCAUAGUUUGGCAGCAGACAGUACAAAAGUAUAAAGGCAACCAGUUUAUUACAGGAGUCAUGUUUCACACUACACUAAAAUAUGUGUGUGUGCUGUAGUUUAGUCUUCCAUGCACUGUAAUUUGUUAAAGAACAGACCUUGUUGACAGACUAACAGUUGUGCACUAUAGAUUACAUAUUCCUUUUGCACACUAACUCAAAAUUGAGGGUUUCCAGACUUAUACUAUAGGUAUAGUACAUUCACAACUUUGUGAAUGUACUAUACCUAUAGUUUUGCAUCAAGCUAACUGCCGAGUAAACCUCCCAAGUGUUGGUAUUUUUAAAGCACGACUAAAAAACCUUAAUGGAAUGUUACUCUAGUAAUGCUUUUGUAUAGAUCACAUGAUUUAUUUAUCAUCUUUCACAAUGGUGUCAUAAAAUUCUCAGUGUGCAUAUUGAUGGAAUUGUCCUUAAUAAGGAUGCAUGUUCCUUCCUCCAUUCUGGUCAUAACACUGUCGGUCAUGAAGAUUUCCAGCCCAGGCUUGCUUUCUUAGAAGGCAACUCUCAGCAAUGCCAAGUGCACAACCUAUUUAUCAUAUGAUCGGGGUCCUUUAGGUGGGACUGAAGACACAGAAUGAAGAGCCCAAAUGCAUCAGCAGAGAGGUAGAUUAUAUAUAGACAAGGCUUCAUUUAUAACACAACCAAUCGGUGCUGCUUCUGUGGGGGCUAGGUGGGGACUAUGAAUCAAUAGAAAAUAAUUCCGUUGAUCUUUGGCCUCUAAAGGAGGAAUUGUAUGACGAGCAGUUUGCAAGCACAAGGCCUGGUGGGAGCCAUACAGAACGGACUUCAAGUGGACAGGCACAGGCUCAGGUCUCUGCCCUGUACUACAGCAAAUCAGCUGGACAAACAAAUAGAGAGCUACUUUGAGAGGAGGCCCCAACAUUCCCAGGUUUACUCUGCCCAACAGACAGCCAUUUCCUCCCUGUCAAUGGAAGAGCCUUCCUUUCCCAGUGAUUAUGCUGGUCCUGAAUCCAACAGCAUGCCAUUGUGUGUGCCAAACCAGCCAGCAGAUCGUCUGUGUGUUGACAGCCAUCCAUUUGCUCGUGCUACUAGAUCAACAGCCAACUCUGCGUUUGCUUACCAGAAAUCUGAAUAUAGGAGUGAUGUCAGCAAGCAACUAGAGAAUUUCUCUAAAAGAAAACUACAUGGAAACCCACACCACCCGAACAGUACUACCAAAAUAGCGUGAGAAAAAUGGGAGGCUUAUUUUUAUUUUUGAAUGAAAACUAAGUAUUGGACAGAGCAACAACAAUUAUUAUCUUUUUUUUUGUAAGAAACACAGAACUUUAUUUAAUAAAACAAGACACAAAUACUCUACCAUAGCAGUCUGUUUACUCCAUUAAGGACUGACAUUAUUGAGUUACGAAGCAUUUCCUAUUGAUCUGUUGCACCAACAUUAGCCUUCCUUCUCACAUUCAUGCAGCUGUUGUGUUUACAUUGCAUUGUAAACUCCAGGAAGCUUGUCUGUGCUGUUUUGAAGGGUUUAUUUUAAGGACAGCAAAAACUUAAAUUAAAGUGAGAGACCAGUCCUUGAAUAAUCCACAACACAAGGCAGCUAUGAGAUAGUCACAUAAAACAGGCAAUUCCUUUUUCUUUUUGCAACAGUUGAUUGAGUAGGAAAAACUGGCAGUGAUUUUGCAAGCACCAUUCUGGAGAUACAGUAAAGAGACAUGGGCCAAAUCAAUUACAUGUAACUUGCAUGGAAAAAGCAUUUUAGGAAAACAUAAAACCAAUACAUAGCUUGGUACAAAAGAAUUGAUGCAAGUGGCAGGUGUUUUUUUUUUUCCUUUUCAUUGUCCCUACAGUGGUCUUGAACUUUUCACUUGUCUAUAUAGAUUUCCAACCUUAUCAGUAUGUUGUCCACUUAGUUCUUGUUCAUUAGAAUCCACUGUGAAUAACUGUACUUGCCAUCUGUAACCACUGCCAAAAUCAAAAGACAGCUGGAGACUCAAGUCAUUUCCAUACAAAAAGUUUUUGGAGACAACAGGCCACCAGUUCUCAGAAUAGACCGUUUGAUUACUGCAAGUUUCCAACUGUCCCUAUCUUGACACUGUGGGCUCUAUUCACAAAGCUUUAAGACAUAAAAAAUGUAUUUAUGAAACUUGUUAAUUAAACCGUCAAUAGCCCGGAACACUUUCAGGAAUACUAAAUAUUAUUUUAUUCAUUAAAACUUUAACCACUCAUAAGUUAAAGCUUUGUGAAUAGAGCCCUAUAUUUAGAUACCAGGUAAGUGGCAAAGUACAAAAGUAGCUUGCAAUGCUGCAUUGUGUGAGAGAAUUUAAAACUUUCAUGAAUUUAAACAAAAUUCAAGGUUAAAAAAAAAGCAUUGCAAGACCAAAUAAAUAAGCUGAAUAAUUUAUUUGUUUUCUGAUUCUAUUCCAAUCAAACUAGAAAGCCAUUAAUGACUGCUUCUUGGAAAUAAGACCAGCUUAGAUAAUGAAAUUCAAGACGGAAGUAUAGAGGAACAUUUUAUUAAAUUAGAGUGAAUGAAAACAGAAAAAAAAAAAAAAAAAACAUUUUGUUAACAGAAUGUGGAUUUCGCUUACACUCCAGAGCACUCGGGUCAACACCCACCCAGAGUCUAAGGGAUUGUUGGGUCAGUGUUACUUCAACCAUGGUCUUGUUAAUUUCCAGUCACAUUAAAGCACAGACUCAAGUAUCAAUUGGAAUAAGAAGUGCAGCUUGGGGGUGGGGAGGAGGAGGAGGCUUGUAAAAAUGACAGCAUGCAAGUUUAAACACAAAUGAUCUGGACAGAAAGGUCUUUUCACACCAAAGAAGUCAAUCAAUCUGAAGCACUGUCCUUAACAAAGUACUGAAUACAUUUUGUGUAUCUUUCAGCACUAAGUACUAUGACAGCAGUACUGUUUCAUGAUAACUAAUAAAGUGCUAUAUAUUUUGGGAAUAUCUUUUAAUAUUCUGUAUACAUUAUACAUUUCAUUGGUUGUUUCGAAUGGUGUUAUAUUUGCUGCACUUUCUUUACUCAAGCUGUGCCUGUUUAGUAUAACAAGCUCAAAUAUAAUUUCAUAUAACUUCCUUAGUAAGCAUUUUAAUUUCCACAACAGUUAUGGUAAGGAAGGUUAAAUGAUAUUCAAUGAGCUAUGGACUACUCAGAAAAAAUCUUUAUUACAGUGCUGUCCAAGUUUAUCAGAAAUGUUACAUGCAUUUUUUUAUUUCAAAGUUCUGUCUAAAGUAAUUUUAGCUGACAAAAUAAUUCCUUACAUUUUCUCUACCAUGCACAUUCAUUCAUUAAGUAGGUUUCAAAUGAGCAGUUUUAAAAGACACACGUGUCAGCAAACUUGUAUUUUCAUUUUAAAAACAUGAUAUCUGAUACAACUGUAGAUUAUCUAGAUCUAAAUCUGUGUUUACAAGCCAUGCUUUCUGUUAUUUCUCCUGUAAAGUGAAAUUGCCCUUGUCAUUCAGUGGCAUAUUUCCUGUUGGUAACUAAUCAGCUGACAUACUUUCAGCCAGUAACAUGCUGUGCAGGUGGUAAUGAAGGAAUUCAGCAGAGAUACAAUGCCUGGAAGAUGAGGCAAGCAAACUGGGAAUAUUCUUUAUUCUAGUGUAGCACCAGACCUGUUUUAAAACUCCACAUUUGAGACUUUUUGAGGCUGUAUGUAGGCCUAGUUAAUGAAAGUGCAAAAUUUAUAUGAUUGAUGACAUUAUUUUGUUAUCUACAAAAUUGAUAUGAUUGAUGACAUUAUUUUGUUAUCUACAAUUAAAAUAUGAAAAGAAAACUUUGAAUUGCAAAAGAAUCACACACAAAAACAAAUCAAAUGGCUUCAGUGCAUACAGAGGCUAUCUCAUAGGCAAUGCUGUGUUUUUUUCUUUUACUGUUUAUUUGAAUUUAAAUUAGAUUAUAUAUCUUCCAUAAACACAUCUCGCUGUGUAGAGAGACUAAAUGGUCUGCCACUUUCCCACUCUUAGUAAACAUGUCCACUGAAGUGUCCAGGUCUUACGCCAGUCAAUCACAGGCUGCUGGGCUGGUUAAGCGUGUAUUUGUGCUGACCGUAUUUCAGCUCAGUCCUCUGCCAAGCUACGCCCACCACAAUUUCCGUAUCAAGGAUUCGGAGAGCGGCAGUUAUGUUCUGAAGAUAUUCAACUCGGGACAGCCGCAAUGCAAAGAUGGUGGAGACCUAAACUAGAAACAUGGUCCUAAAGAUAAAGAGGCUGCCCACCCCCACAGCACUGCUGACCAGAGAUUGGAAACUCACAUCUCUGGAGUCUGUCGGUACAAUUUGCCAUUAGUUUAUGACCACAUGUGUUGUAGACUGGAGGUUCUGGUGUAUUCACUGGAGCAGGUGACCGAUUUUGAGGCAUUGCAGUGCAGCUCUGUGUAGUCAUGAACGUUACAACUCGAAUAG